GGGUGCGACCGCACAGUCUCAAAGUGACUAGUGCCCGCUCUAGUUUCAAGACAUUCACUGCUUCUAAGGAACUUGCAGAAUAGCAUUUGGAAGAAACUGUGGGACACACAGCUGUGAUGUAACCCACAUCUCAUCUGAUGUCAAGCGCAACACUGACCAGCCAGCGGCUUCUUGAGUUUACAGACCUUCACGCGGUCAACAAGACAAAAUGAUAGCUACAGAAUCGGAAAAGAUCAUCACUAACCCCACAUCAGACAGAGGUCUGAUCUCCAAAAUAUACAAAGAACUCAAGAAAUUGGACACCAAAAGAACACAUAAUCCAAUUUAAAAAACGGAGUGCAGA